AUUGAACGCUGGCGGCAGGCCUAACACAUGCAAGUCGAGCGGAUGAAGGGAGCUUGCUCCUGGAUUCAGCGGCGGACGGGUGAGUAAUGCCUAGGAAUCUGCCUGGUAGUGGGGGAUAACGUCCGGAAACGGGCGCUAAUACCGCAUACGUCCUGAGGGAGAAAGUGGGGGAUCUUCGGACCUCACGCUAUCAGAUGAGCCUAGGUCGGAUUAGCUAGUUGGUGGGGUAAAGGCCUACCAAGGCGACGAUCCGUAACUGGUCUGAGAGGAUGAUCAGUCACCCUGGCACUGAGACACGGUCCAGACUCCUGCGGGAGGCAGCAGUGGGGAAUAUUGGACAAUGGGCGAAAGCCUGAUCCAGCCAUGCCGCGUGUGUGAAGAAGGUCUUCGGACUGUAAAGCACUUUAAGUUGGGAGGAAGGGCAGUAAGUUAAUACCUUGCUGUUUUGACGUUACCAACAGAAUAAGCACCGGCUAACUUCGUG
rnacentral:rRNA from 1 species